rnacentral:tRNA from 1 species
CAUCAAAUGGCUGAAAGUAAGCAAUGGAAUUUUAAACCAUUUUAUAAUAAUUAACAAAUAUUUUUGAUGA